CAAUAGCGUAUAUUUAAGUUGUUGCAGUUAAAAAGCUCGUAGUCGGAUUUUGGCUGAGAACGAACGGUCCGCCGUUAGGCGUGCACUGUUUGGUCUCAGCUUCCUGGUGAGGAGGUGUGCUUCACGGCCACUUAGUCACCGUGGUUACUUUGAAAAAAUUAGAGUGUUCAAAGCGGGCUUACGCUUGAAUAUAUUAGCAUGGAAUAACACCAUAGGACUCCUGUCCUAUUUCGUUGGUCUCGGGACGGGAGUAAUGAUUAAGAGGAACAGUUGGGGGCAUUCGUAUUUCAUUGUCAGAGGUGAAAUUCUUGGAUUUAUGAAAGACGAACUUCUGCGAAAGCAUUUGCCAAGGAUGUUUUCAUUGA
rnacentral:rRNA from 1 species